rnacentral:rRNA from 1 species
AGCAGCCGCGGUAAUUCCAGCUCCAAUAGCGUAUAUUAAAGUUGUUGCAGUUAAAAAGCUCGUAGUUGAAUUUCGGGAUCAAUAUGUCGGUCGUGCCUUCGGUACGUACUGGUAUCAUUGGUUUCUCCUUUCUGACGAACCAUGAUGUCAUUAAUUUGGUGUUAUGGGGAGUUAGGACUGUUACUUUGAAAAAUUAGAGUGUUUAAAGCAGGCUUUAGCUUGAAUACAUUAGCAUGGAAUAAUGAAAUAGGACGUUCGAACCUAUUUUGUUGGUUUCUAGGAUCAACGUAAUGAUUAAUAGGGAUAGUUGGGGGCAUUAGUAUUCAAUUGUCAGAGGUGAAAUUCUUGGAUUUAUUGAAGACUAACUACUGCGAAAGCAUUUGCCAAGGAUGUUUUCAUUAAUCAAGAACGAAAGUUAGGGGAUCGAAGACGAUCAGAUACCGUCGUAGUCUUAACCAUAAACUAUGCCGACUAGGGAUCGGAUGAUGUUAAUUUUUAAUGUACUCAUUCGGCGCCUUAC